UUAGUGGAAGCGUCUGGAAAGGCGUGCGAUACAGGGUGACAGCCCCGUACACAAAAAUGCACAUAUUGUGAGCUCGAUGAGUAGGGCGGGACACGUGGUAUCCUGUCUGAAUAUGGGGGGACCAUCCUCCAAGGCUAAAUACUCCUGACUGACCGAUAGUGAACCAGUACCGUGAGGGAAAGGCGAAAAGAACCCCGGCGAGGGGAGUGAAAAAGAACCUGAAACCGUGUACGUACAAGCAGUGGGAGCACGCUUAGGCGUGUGACUGCGUACCUUUUGUAUAAUGGGUCAGCGACUUAUAUUCUGUAGCAAGGUUAACCGAAUAGGGGAGCCGAAGGGAAACCGAGUCUUAACUGGGCGUUAAGUUGCAGGGUAUAGACCCGAAACCCGGUGAUCUAGCCAUGGGCAGGUUGAAGGUUGGGUAACACUAACUGGAGGACCGAACCGACUAAUGUUGAAAAAUUAGCGGAUGACUUGUGGCUGGGGGUGAAAGGCCAAUCAAACCGGGAGAUAGCUGGUUCUCCCCGAAAGCUAUUUAGGUAGCGCCUCGUGAAUUCAUCUCCGGGGGUAGAGCACUGUUUCGGCAAGGGGGUCAUCCCGACUUACCAACCCGAUGCAAACUGCGAAUACCGGAGAAUGUUAUCACGGGAGACACACGGCGGGUGCUAACGUCCGUCGUGAAGAGGGAAACAACCCAGACCGCCAGCUAAGGUCCCAAAGUCAUGGUUAAGUGGGAAACGAUGUGGGAAGGCCCAGACAGCCAGGAUGUUGGCUUAGAAGCAGCCAUCAUUUAAAGAAAGCGUAAUAGCUCACUGGUCGAGUCGGCCUGCGCGGAAGAUGUAACGGGGCUAAACCAUGCACCGAAGCUGCGGCAGCGACGCUGAUGCGUUGUUGGGUAGGGGAGCGUUCUGUAAGCCUGUGAAGGUGUGCUGUGAGGUAUGCUGGAGGUAUCAGAAGUGCGAAUGCUGACAUAAGUAACGAUAAAGCGGGUGAAAAGCCCGCUCGCCGGAAGACCAAGGGUUCCUGUCCAACGUUAAUCGGGGCAGGGUGAGUCGACCCCUAAGGCGAGGCCGAAAGGCGUAGUCGAUGGGAAACAGGUUAAUAUUCCUGUACUUGGUGUUACUGCGAAGGGGGGACGGAGAAGGCUAUGUUGGCCGGGCGACGGUUGUCCCGGUUUAAGCGUGUAGGCUGGUUUUCCAGGCAAAUCCGGAAAACUAAGGCUGAGGCGUGAUGACGAGGCACUACGGUGCUGAAGCAACAAAUGCCCUGCUUCCAGGAAAAGCCUCUAAGCAUCAGGUAACAUCAAAUCGUACCCCAAACCGACACAGGUGGUCAGGUAGAGAAUACCAAGGCGCUUGAGAGAACUCGGGUGAAGGAACUAGGCAAAAUGGUGCCGUAACUUCGGGAGAAGGCACGCUGAUAUGUAGGUGAAGUCCCUCGCGGAUGGAGCUGAAAUCAGUCGAAGAUACCAGCUGGCUGCAACUGUUUAUUAAAAACACAGCACUGUGCAAACACGAAAGUGGACGUAUACGGUGUGACGCCUGCCCGGUGCCGGAAGGUUAAUUGAUGGGGUCAGCGCAAGCGAAGCUCUUGAUCGAAGCCCCGGUAAACGGCGGCCGUAACUAUAACGGUCCUAAGGUAGCGAAAUUCCUUGUCGGGUAAGUUCCGACCUGCACGAAUGGCGUAAUGAUGGCCAGGCUGUCUCCACCCGAGACUCAGUGAAAUUGAACUCGCUGUGAAGAUGCAGUGUACCCGCGGCAAGACGGAAAGACCCCGUGAACCUUUACUAUAGCUUGACACUGAACAUUGAGCCUUGAUGUGUAGGAUAGGUGGGAGGCUUUGAAGUGUGGACGCCAGUCUGCAUGGAGCCGACCUUGAAAUACCACCCUUUAAUGUUUGAUGUUCUAACGUUGACCCGUAAUCCGGGUUGCGGACAGUGUCUGGUGGGUAGUUUGACUGGGGCGGUCUCCUCCUAAAGAGUAACGGAGGAGCACGAAGGUUGGCUAAUCCUGGUCGGACAUCAGGAGGUUAGUGCAAUGGCAUAAGCCAGCUUGACUGCGAGCGUGACGGCGCGAGCAGGUGCGAAAGCAGGUCAUAGUGAUCCGGUGGUUCUGAAUGGAAGGGCCAUCGCUCAACGGAUAAAAGGUACUCCGGGGAUAACAGGCUGAUACCGCCCAAGAGUUCAUAUCGACGGCGGUGUUUGGCACCUCGAUGUCGGCUCAUCACAUCCUGGGGCUGAAGUAGGUCCCAAGGGUAUGGCUGUUCGCCAUUUAAAGUGGUACGCGAGCUGGGUUUAGAACGUCGUGAGACAGUUCGGUCCCUAUCUGCCGUGGGCGCUGGAGAACUGAGGGGGGCUGCUCCUAGUACGAGAGGACCGGAGUGGACGCAUCACUGGUGUUCGGGUUGUCAUGCCAAUGGCACUGCCCGGUAGCUAAAUGCGGAAGAGAUAAGUGCUGAAAGCAUCUAAGCACGAAACUUGCCCCGAGAUGAGUUCUCCCUGACUCCUUGAGAGUCCUGAAGGAACGUUGAAGACGACGACGUUGAUAGGCCGGGUGUGUAAGCGCAGCGAUGCGUUGAGCUAACCGGUACUAAUGAACCGUGAGGCUUAACC
rnacentral:rRNA from 1 species